rnacentral:rRNA from 1 species
GAUGAACGCUGGCGGCGUGCCUAAUACAUGCAAGUCGAGCGAACAGACGAGGAGCUUGCUCCUCUGACGUUAGCGGCGGACGGGUGAGUAACACGUGGAUAACCUACCUAUAAGACUGGGAUAACUUCGGGAAACCGGAGCUAAUACCGGAUAAUAUAUUGAACCGCAUGGUUCAAUAGUGAAAGACGGUUUUGCUGUCACUUAUAGAGGGAUCCGCGCCGCAUUAGCUAGUUGGUAAGGGAACGGCUUACCAAGGCAACGAUGCGUAGCCGACCUGAGAGGGUGAUCGGCCACACUGGAACUGAGACACGGUCCAGACUCCUACGGGAGGCAGCAGUAGGGAAUCUUCCGCAAUGGGCGAAAGCCUGACGGAGCAACGCCGCGUGAGUGAUGAAGGUCUUCGGAUCGUAAAACUCUGUUAUUAGGGAAGAACAAAUGUGUAAGUAACUAUGCACGUCUUGACGGUACCUAAUCAGAAAGCCACGGCUAACUACGUG